CGCCCGGCCGGAUGUAAUGCAAACCAGGCUGCUGGGAAGAAGUGCGUGCUUUAAUCACGGCUCACGCCUGCUUGGCCUCAACUCCGCUUCCAUCAGCCAUGUCAAAGCUUGCUUUGAGGAGCAACUCCCUGCCUCAUCUCUGGCAUCACGCACUGCGAAAUAACAACCAUCUGCCGAAAUAAUCAUACAAAGAAUCGCAAUGAAAAAUAACACAUAAGAGCUCUAUGUGUUAGAGCUUUGCUCUAACCAACUUUGCUCUAGCCAAAUACUUUAGAGGACUCAUCUCAUUUAGACUCAGACCCUCGUGGUGGAUGGUUUGGUUAUUACCAUUUUAUAGGUGACGAUGCUGAGGCCAGGUGGGGAUAAGGAUCUUGCCCCAAAAAGUAGGGGAGACAGAACUGAACCUGGAGCCAACCGACUCUCAAGCCUGGGAUCUGAUCACUAGCCUAUUCUGCCUCCUUGGAUGACCUGACCCAGAGAUUCAGUCUACACGUUCCUGUUACCCAGAUACUGCAGUGGAAGGGCUGGGAGGGCAUCCUCCUGGCUUCCUGGAGCAUGUGCCUGUCCAGCGCUGGGGUCAGCUGUUGCAGCCAAGACCCCCUCCAGGGGCUGUGUCCUGCACCAGGCACCACACUUCCGGCCAAUGUGAGGCUUCCGACUUGGGCAGGGGAUGCUUCUGGAAGCCACACAGGACCGCUAAAGACCAUGAUCAUAUGGGUGGAGAGCCCGGCCCAACAGAACUGAACUCAUCUUCUGUUUUUCACCAUCUACAAACCAUAUGACCUUGAGCAAGUUACCUC